AUUUCACCAAAACGCCUGACCGGGGGAGCAUGAGCUGGAACCCACAAGCUCAAGCUUCGGUGACCACACGGGAACCCCACCUCCUUCCGUCCUGGGUGGGCUUCCCAGCAAAAGCCCAGAUUAUCUGCAGGUCACUGCCUGAAUCAACGACCUACAGCGGCUCCCAUCAACCUUUGUAAAAGACCAGACCAAGCCUGCAAGAUCAAGCCUGCAAAGCCAGUCCUCAAGAGAAGGCUCCCGACAGGGUCCCCGGCUGCUGGUCUGAGCCCCUGGCAGCUGCUCUGGGCCUUCUGCGCACCCUGUCUUCAUGGACUCAAAUUCUGAAGUCACGUUUGAAGUUAAUGGAAAGCCUCAGGGUGCUGCUCCCCCAGAAAUGUGUGAUGUGGAUUUUCUCAGCAUCUCAACUGGAGCCAAAUAGAGAAAACAAGGAGAUGCUUGGGGGUAUCAAGGGCAUUCUGAGAUUGGACCACUCACCAUCCAGCCCUGCUGAAUUCGCCCACUAGCCAAGAAAGGUUGGGAACGUCCCGGAGGCUGUGUUUUGCUGGAUUGUCUAUCCUGUGAUUGAUUGGAGCUGAGCAUGAAACCCUGGGGCUCUGUUCUGUUCUGUCCCUGAAAUGAUCCGAAGAGUUAUCUCCUCUCUCUUUUCUGAGACCGACCCAGCUCAGGUCUGAUGCCCAUGGCACCCGCAAACUGAAGACCCUCUGAGUCAGUGGCCUGGCUGCUGGGAUUCCUGGGACUCUCCACGCUCUGCGCUCCUGGAAGGCACAGGAAUCCCCCUACAUCCAAUAGUUAGUUGUAUUUAUGUAACUCGGAUAGGCUGCUUCACCAGCCUGGCCCGACAACGUGAGACUGUGUAUUUCCUAUUUAUGGCAGGAAACUUACCAGCCAGAAACUGAUCGUUCUCAAAGUGUCUCCUGGUUAUUUCUAGAAUCUCUGAGUCCUGACCCCAACCCCCAACAUGGAUGAUACAUCUGGUUACCAGCCAAUUGCCUUUUCCC
rnacentral:lncRNA from 1 species